rnacentral:pre_miRNA from 1 species
GAUGGGUCUAGGUUUGGCGGGGAUGGGGCGGGGAUGGGGAUUAAAAUUGUACCCGCAAUGGGUGGUGGAGCGGGUGUGGAUUUUAUGUUAUACCCGCCCCAUCCCCGCCCGCCCCGCCCCAUCCCCGCCCUCCCCGCCCCACCCC